GGGACGAAUAACUCAGUAAAACUGCGAUGAUUUAGUCUGGCUGUGUAGAUAACUACGUGAAAAUGUAGCUAAGGGAAGGCAGAAUAAGACGCAGGACUAUCAGUUAGUUGGUAGUGUAAUGGACUACCAAGACAGUGACGGUUGACGGGAAAUUAGGGUUUUGUACCGGAGAGGGAGCCUGAGAGAUUGCUCCCACGUCCAAGGACGGCAGCAGGCGCGAAAAUUGCCCACUCUUUGCAGGAGGCAGUUAUGAGACGUGAAGAUGAGUAUCUUGUAAAGAGGGAUAGGAGAAUUGGAGGGCAAGUUUGGUGCCAGCAGCCGCGGUAAUACCGACUCCAAGAGUGUGUAUGAGAGAUGCUGCAGUUAAAAAGUCCGUAGUCAUAGAAGGGCAAAGAGAGACGCGAGGUCUCACAGUGCGAUGAUGGAGGAGCCGAUGGGGAACAUAGUAUACCAGGGCGAGAGAUGAAAU
rnacentral:rRNA from 1 species